ensembl:lncRNA
CUUAUGAAACGUGGAAAGCACAGUGAUCUCAGACUUAAACAAGGGAAUAGUCACUAUUCAUAUUAUGUUUUAGAACACAAUUAUUAAAGAGAGACCUGUGGAAACUUAUUCUGGAAGUAGUAAUUGAAAUUAAUUCCCACAGGUGACCGCACCCUGGCAACCACAAAUGGCAGUGCUCUGAGUUAAAAGGCAAUAUGACCUUUGGCCCAUAAGAGACAGGGAUAAUUGGGUGAACUGUCUCCACCCCCUUACCUGAGAUCCCUUCCAGACAGAGCAGGAGGGCCUGCUGGUUCCACCCCAAGAUCCUGAGCUGGAGUAGAGAGACGCAACUCAAUGCGGAAAUCAUGAAGCUUGUAGUUAUUUUCUAGAAGUAGCAUCUGUUGGCUUCUGAGGAAGCUAAAACCUCCUUUGCCUACUGUGGUUGGCAGAAUGAUGGCUCCUUAAAGGUGUCCAUCUCUUUAUCCCUGGGGUCUGUGGAUAUGUUACCUUACCUGGUAAAAGGGACUUUGCAGAUGUGAUUAAGUUAAGGAUUCUGAGAUGGGACCCUGGAUCAUCCAGGAGGGCCCAACGUAAUCACAAGCGUUCUGAUAAGUGAAAGAGAGAGGCGGGGGAAUCUGAGUCAGAGAGAGAUUUGAAGCUACGACAUCACUGGCUUUGAAGAUGGAGGAACGGGCCACAAGGCAGGGAGUGCAGGCAGCCUUUGGAAGCUGAAAAAGGAUGCGAAUCCACGUCUCUGGGGUCGAAAAGGUCACAAACAGAAAACCUGCUGCACUUCUGAGUCUUCACAGAUUUCAGUGAUUUGGUCCAAAUCCAGAAACCAUCUUGAGACAAUAAAAAGGCUGCUGAAUGGGAACCAAGCAGGACGGCUCAACUCUCACCGAGUUUUUGCCUCUCAAGGGAAACUGAGGCCUGCAAGGGAGCUGCUAUGCAUAGUGAUUAGGAUCUCGGAGCCUCGGUUUCUUCAUGUGCAACACGUGGAUGUCAAUCACUACCUCAUGGUGAUGUUAGAUGGAAUAAAUUCAACAAUGAUUGCAAAGCCCUCAGCAAAGUUGCUGGCAUAUAUUGAGGGCUAACACAGCAAUCAUUAACAGGAGAAAAGUCGUCUGUUACAGGAUGAACAAAAUCUUCUGUAAAGCAUGAGAUUGAGAAAUAGAAUAAUCUGUGGGUUGACUUGGACAGUAGUGGACUCUGGUGUCCUGACUGAAUGACUGAAUGAGGUGGCCUUUGAAAGGAGAGAAAAUGGACGUCUUGUCUUCUCUGAGCUUCUGCCAACACUGAAAAGGCUGAGGAACGGUUUCAUGGUGUAUCAGGGUUCCGUUUUUAAAACUGGUUGCACACAUCCCUCAUUUGAGGGUCCUGUUGGGUAGUUUAGGAGAGAAAAUGAAUGUCUAUGUUCUUGAAGGCCAAUUUGGGAGUGCAAAUGUUGGAUUUGGGAUCUCAUUGGAAAGUCUGUGUUAUUUAAAUUUCUAAAGCGAGCCCUCUCAUGUGACCUCAAGCUAAUGCGUGGGUCUGCUGGAAUAACAGCUUUGAGUAAUUUCUUCCAGCAGUGCCUACUAAGUAACCCGGGAUAAAAGUAUUGUUUUCCCAUGAAUGGUGGAAUUGUCAGGAAGGUAACAAAUUGCCCCAGACUUUUGUUGGUGCAACGGAAUUCAAGCUUCUUUCAAUUUUUUUGGACUUCCAAAAAAAAAUCUUUGAGAGACUACUGUGUGGCAAUACUGCGUGCUGGCCAGAGAGUCUAUAGAUGACAACACAGUGUCCCAGAAUCUUGCCUUAUUUUUCUUUUCCCUCCACCCCCACCCGCCAUCUCUCACCAGACAGAAUAGGUGAAGAGGUUGAGUUGUAGAUCUCAUUUCUCCUGUUUUGCUGCUUGUGAAGUCUGCCAACAGAAUCCACCUUGACAAAGUCAAGGACUGUGCGUUUAAUGUUGAACUGAGUGAAUAAAUUAUGCAUGAAAUUGUGCCGGAGUCUCUAGUGUGCAGAAUUGCUCCUUUUGAUAUGAAAGGUUAAUUCAGAAAGGAGUCCAAAAUAGCUGGAAAUUGUGGGGAUAAGUGGAUAGUAUUCACUGUUGUGAGCUGUUAUUACUAGAAAUUGCAUUCCCUCUCUGGCUUCCCCGGAGAUUUCUCUUUGCCAGUGAAUAUAAACUGUACUCAAUAGAAUAGCAUUUAGGAGUAACAAGAGUGUAUGUCCACACACAAUAAAAUAUUCUAAUGGCGUUUUAAAAAGAAGUUGUACUUUUUCAGGUAUAUCAUGUACCCCAAGGAAGAAUUUCUACUGCAUUUAGGUCAAGAACAAGGCAUAGCAAACAUAAUGAGUUUUGGACAUAUAUGUAUUGUAAGGGGCUGCCUGGGACUCCUGUUUCUGAGCCUGGGCUGGUCAUGCCACUGAUUAGUCAUGCAAGCCUGGUUUCUGAUAAAGCCCAAACCAUCCUUGCUUAAAGAAGGAACCACCCCAAAUUGUUUUUAUCACUACAGCUUACACAUCCAGCUUUAAUUUAAUCUUUGGUAAAUUUAUGAAGUUCUUCAACCUAUUUCACUUAAAUGUCCUUUUUACACACAUCCUUAUAUCAUUUUUAUGUUAGUUCAUUAUUUCCAGCAGAAAAACGUAGCUGUCUGGAAAGCUAAAUUUGACUGAAAAUACACAUACACAUAUUUUUGGAGCUUGUUAGAGACUCUUUUUUGUGUUUCCAUCACAAGGGAACGGAAUUGAGCCACCAGACUGUGGAAGUUGUUUAUUUUUGUCGCUCUUAUGUACAUUUUCAGAAACCAUCUACUUCUUAAUCUACACCAGGGACUAGUAGUUUUUUUCUCUAAUUAUAAAGUGGUCUCAUUUCUGACCUGGCGUAGUUUUUAAUUUUAAUUCCUGGCUUGUGUUUAUAAACUGUUAGACUACAUUAUCCUGUUGGGAACGUUGAGAGAAAGGCUUCAGUCUUUUGUGUUGGUUUUAACAAUUAGAUAUUCAUUCAGUGUCUUAAAAUGUAUUUCGGAGCAACCAAAGAUGCACUUUUGAUGUCGUUUUUUUUCCUUCUGUGUUUCACUUAUGUAUCUAUUUCACAUUAGUGAUAAAGCUUGUAAAACUCUGGAUGGGUGACGGUGAAUAGUUGUAGUAGUAUUAUAAAACCUAACAGGAGUCAACAAAAUUGAUACAAUUACUUUUUUUAAUGUAUUUUUUUGUUUCAAAUGUUUAUGUGGAAAAAGAUAUAGAAAUCUUGGCGUAGGGAAGAUAUUCCUACAAAUUUUGGCAGAUGCUGGGUUAAAAUAAAGUAGUUGCUCAU